rnacentral:misc_RNA from 1 species
GUAAAAUUGUGUUGAAAAAUAUUUUGCAUAUGGAGAUUAUUGAUAGGCAUCAAGUUCUCUGCAAAAAUGGAGGCUGACAACAAGGCCAAAUAAGCUCAAUAAGGAAUAGCUCAAAUGUGGUGCAUAUAUGCCCAAAAUCGAAAAAUGAAACCAAACAGAAUUAAUCUUUUUGGUUUCUAUAUCUUUGCAUUUUGAUUAUUCAGUUAGUUCAGCUCAAUUUAGAAUCGUGCACUCCUAUUCACAACUAAUACCAUCAAAUUUAAUAUUAGUCAUUCUAAUCCCCACAAAUUAUUUAAACCAACAAAAUCAAUCUAAAUCAGAAGUUAACAUCAAAAUCAA